AGCCCAAACAGUGAAUCGUUUCCGACCCCUCCGUUGUAAGAGUCCUCGCUGUUCGUUCCAUUCCAAUAAAUGUCUGAUGUCGGCAUGGUUUCUCAGAUAUGACGGAUAUAUGAUAUAUCAGCUUGGAGAAUGUCAGAGUUUAUCCUGCUUAAUCUGUUUACUGGUCCUCCGAUCGGAGAAAUUCUUCUAUUUGGCGUCCAUCGGGCGAAGUAAGCAUCCAUCUUUGGCGAGUUUGAC
rnacentral:misc_RNA from 1 species